GAUGAACGCUGGCGGCGUGCCUAACACAUGCAAGUCGAACGGAACUUUUAUUAACGGAGAUUCGUCAAAGUUGAUUUAAGUUUAGUGGCGGACGGGUGAGUAACGCGUGGGUAACCUGCCUCAUAGAGGGGGAUAACGGCUGGAAACGACCGCUAAUACCGCAUAAGCCCACAGUACCGCAUGGUACAGGGGGAAAAGAUUUAUCGCUAUGAGAUGGACCCGCGUCUGAUUAACUGGUUGGUGAGGUAACGGCCCACCAAGGUUACGAUCAGUAGCCGGACUGAGAGAUUGAACGGCCACAUUGGGACUGAGACACGGCCCAAACUCC
rnacentral:rRNA from 1 species